GUAUUGCACUCUUACGAGCUUCUUUGCACUCUUUUGAAAAAUAUUUUUCUGUAAUUAACACUGCCUUGCACUAUUAUUCGCGCUUAACUGUGAACUUAUUUAACAAGCAAAAGGACGCGUGAUCUUUUAUAGGAAAACUUUACACAAUCGUUUAGCCGUUAUGUCGGCCCUCUCGAACUCCGAACCCGCCGGCGACCGUCCAGCCCCGCCGCAGAGCUUCCUGGCCUGCCGACUCUUUUGUCGCACAUCGCCGACCGUCCUACCCAGCAGCGACCCUCCUGCGCAGCCGACGCUUCGCCUGCAUUUGGAGGGGACGCCGUUCAUUUGCACUUUUAAGUUCAGAUUAUAUUAAGAAAUGGAGAAAGUUAAAUUUUGACUGAUUAUGAUUUGUUUGCACUGGAACGAGGCUAGGAUGCACUGUUAUAGAGGUCAGUUGCACCAUUUCUCAUUUCGUAGACUUCACAUUGCACUAUUAUCCCUGUUGCGGAGCGCGCACUUUUUGUCAAUAGCGUUCGAAAAUUUCGUAAAGUCUUAAGCAGAACAGGAAACAGCGGGACCGGCGAAUAGCGGGGUCGGAUGUUGUCCGGGUUCCGAGAAAUAAGCGGUCAAUUAAUGCGCGCCAGACCGUACGGCAGGGUAGUAUACGUAUGUCAAGAAAUACGCGGGAGGCUAUUGUAUAGGAGGGGCAUUUUGGUCAGGCGGCGGAAAAAGCGGACCGAAUCUGCAAAAAGAAAAAAGGUGGCCCGAUUUUGCAAAACCCCAAAAUAAGUGAAUUUUUUAUGCAAAUUGGCCAUCAAAAAAUUAUAAACACCAAAGACUGCGGAAAUACAAAAUAAAUAAAUAAAUAAAUAAAUUUAAGAUGGUCUCCGAGCAUGAUCUGUUUGACCAGAGUUAUUCUUUUUUGGAUGGAAUGACCAGCACUGUAAUUCAAUUAACUAUACGUCAAGGCUUCCAACGGUAGUGUUUGACCCGAGUCCACGUCAUUAUAUAUAUAUAUAU
rnacentral:lncRNA from 1 species